GACGAACGCUGGCGGCGUGCUUAACACAUGCAAGUCGAACGGAAAGGCCCUGCUUUUGUGGGGUGCUCGAGUGGCGAACGGGUGAGUAACACGUGAGUAACCUGCCCUUGACUUUGGGAUAACUUCAGGAAACUGGGGCUAAUACCGGAGAGGAGCUCCUGCUGCAUGGUGGGGGUUGGAAAGUUUCGGCGGUUGGGGAUGGACUCGCGGCUUAUCAGCUUGUUGGUGGGGUAGUGGCUUACCAAGGCUUUGACGGGUAGCCGGCCUGAGAGGGUGACCGGCCACAUUGGGACUGAGAUACGGCCCAGACUCCUACGGGAGGCAGCAGUGGGGAAUAUUGCACAAUGGGCGGAAGCCUGAUGCAGCAACGCCGCGUGCGGGAUGACGGCCUUCGGGUUGUAAACCGCUUUCGCCUGUGACGAAGCGUGAGUGACGGUAAUGGGUAAAGAAGCAACGGCUAACUACGUG
rnacentral:rRNA from 1 species